rnacentral:rRNA from 1 species
GAUAAACGCUGGCGGCGUGCAUAACACAUGCAAGUCGAACGAUGAAGAUUAAAAGAUUUCUUCGGAAUGAACUUAAUUGGAUUAGUGGCGGACGGGUGAGUAACGCGUGAGUAACCUGCCUUGUACAAGGGGAUAGCCGUUGGAAACGACGAAUAAUACCCUAUGACAUCAAAUAAUCGCAUGAUAAUUUGAUCAAAGAUUUAUCGGUAUAAGAUGGACUCGCGUCUGAUUAGCUAGUUGGUAGAGUAAAAGCCUACCAAGGCAACGAUCAGUAGCCGGCUUGGGAGAGUGUACGGCCACAUUGGGACUGAGACACGGCCCAGACUCCUACGGGAGGCAGCAGUGGGGAAUUUUGCACAAUGGGGGAAACCCUGAUGCAGCGACGCCGCGUGAUUUAGAAGGCCUUCGGGUUGUAAAAAUCUUUUGUAUGGGAAGAAAAUGACAGUACCAUACGAAUAAGAACCGGCUAAUUACGUG